rnacentral:rRNA from 1 species
CCUACGGGAGGCAGCAGUAAGGAAUAUUGGUCAAUGGGCGCAAGCCUGAACCAGCCAUGCCGCGUGCAGGAAGACGGCCCUAUGGGUUGUAAACUGCUUUUGAACAAGAGAAAACCUCGGUACGUGUACCGAGCUGAUAGUAUUGUUAGAAUAAGCAUCGGCUAACUUCGUGCCAGCAGCCGCGGUAAGACGAAGGAUGCAAGCGUUAUCCGGAUUCAUUGGGUUUAAAGGGUGCGUAGGCGGCCUGAUAAGUCAGUGGUGAAAUCUCUCAGCUUAACUGAGAAACUGCCAUUGAUACUGUCGGGCUUGAGUACAGAUGAUGUGGGCGGAAUAUGACAUGUAGUGGUGAAAUACUUAGAUAUGUCAUAGAACACCGAUUGCGAAGGCAGCUCACAAAACUGUAACUGACGCUGAGCACGAAGUAGCGGGAGUACAACAGAGUAGUAUACCUACGUAGUCGCACCGUAACGAUANAUACUCGUUGUUGUNAUAUGACG